rnacentral:rRNA from 1 species
CCUACGGGCGGCAGCAGUGGGGAAUAUUGCACAAUGGGGGAAACCCUGAUGCAGCGACGCCGCGUGAGUGAAGAAGUAUUUCGGUAUGUAAAGCUCUGUCAGCAGGGAAGAAAAUGACGGUACCUGACCAAGAAGCCCCGGCUAACUACGGGCCAGCAGCCGCGGUAAUACGGAGGGGGCAAGCGUUAUCCGGAUUUACUGGGUGUAAAGGGAGCGUAGAGGGCAGGGCAAGUCUGGAGUGAAAGGGGGGGGCUCAACCGCCGGACUGCACUGGAAACUGCCAGGCUGGAGUGCAGGAGAGGUAAGUGGAAUUCGUGGUGUAGCGGUGAAAUGCGUAGAUAUUAGGAGGAACCCCAGUGGCGAAGGCAGCUUACUGGACUGUAACUGACGUUGAGGCUCGAAAGCGUGGGGAGCAAACAGGAUUAGAUACCCCAGUAGUC